UACUCCUACGGGAGGCAGCAGUGGGGAAUAUUGCACAAUGGGCGCAAGCCUGAUGCAGCCAUGCCGCGUGUGUGAAGAAGGCCUUCGGGUUGUAAAGCACUUUCAGCGAGGAGGAAGGUGGUGAGCUUAAUACGCUCAUCAAUUGACGUUACUCGCAGAAGAAGCACCGGCUAACUCCGUGCCAGCAGCCGCGGUAA
rnacentral:rRNA from 1 species